ensembl:misc_RNA Y_RNA Y RNA
GGAGUGCGGAGUGCAGUGGUGUUUACAACUAAUUAAUCACAACCAGUUACAGAUCUCUUUCUUUCUCUCUCCACUCCCACUGCUUCACUUGACCAGCCUAAA